UACGAAGGGGGCUGGCGUUGUUCGGAAUUACUGGGCGUAAAGCGCACGUAGGCGGAUAUUUAAGUCAGGGGUGAAAUCCCGGGGCUCAACCCCGGAACUGCCUUUGAUACUGGGUAUCUCGAGUCCGAGAGAGGUGAGUGGAAUUCCGAGUGUAGAGGUGAAAUUCGUAGAUAUUCGGAGGAACACCAGUGGCGAAGGCGGCUCACUGGCUCGGUACUGACGCUGAGGUGCGAAAGCGUGGGGAGCAAACAGG
rnacentral:rRNA from 1 species